rnacentral:rRNA from 1 species
AACGAACGCUGGCGGCGCGUCUUAAGCAUGCAAGUCGAACGGCAAGAUUGGUGCUUGCACCGAUCCUAGAGUGGCGGACUGGUGAGUAACGCGUGGGUGACGUACCCUAAGGAUGGGGAUAGCUGGUAGAAAAAUCAGAUAAUACCGAAUAUCCUUAUUGUUGUUAGAGGACAGUAAGGAAAGGAGCUUUGGCUUCGCCUAAGGAUCGGCCCGCGUACUAUUAGCUAGUUGGUGAGGUAACGGCUCACCAAGGCGACGAUAGUUAUCCGGCCUAAGAGGGUGAACGGACACAUUGGGACUGAGAUACGGCCCAGACUCCUACGGGAGGCAGCAGCUAAGAAUAUUCCGCAAUGGAGGAAACUCUGACGGAGCGACGCCGCGUGGAUGAUGAAGGCCGGAAGGUUGUAAAAUCCUUUUAAGCAAGAAGAAUAAACUUUACAGGGAAUGGCAGAGUGGUGACGGUAUUGCUUGAAUAAGCAACGGCUAAUUACGUGCCAGCAGCCGCGGUAAGAC